rnacentral:rRNA from 1 species
GACGAACGCUGGCGGCGUGCCUAAUACAUGCAAGUAGAACGCUGAAGCGAGGAGCUUACUCUUCUUGGAUGAGUUGCGAACGGGUGAGUAACGCGUAGGUAACCUGCCUUGUAGCGGGGGAUAACUAUUGGAAACGAUAGCUAAUACCGCAUAACAAUGGAUGACACAUGUCAUUUAUUUGAAAGGGGCAAUUGCUCCACUACAAGAUGGACCUGCGUUGUAUUAGCUAGUAGGUGAGGUAAUGGCUCACCUAGGCGACGAUACAUAGCCGACCUGAGAAGGUGAUCGGCCACACUGGGACUGAGACACGGCCCAGACUCCUACGGGAGGCAGCAGUAGGGAAUCUUCGGCAAUGGGGGCAACCCUGACCGAGCAACGCCGCGUGAGUGAAGAAGGUUUUCGGAUCGUAAAGCUCUGUUGUAAGUCAAGAACGGGUGUGAGAGUGGAAAGUUCACACUGUGACGGUAGCUUACCAGAAAGGGACGGCUAACUACGUG